rnacentral:rRNA from 1 species
UACGGAGGGGGCUAGCGUUGUUCGGAAUUACUGGGCGUAAAGCGCACGUAGGCGGAUAUUUAAGUCAGGGGUGAAAUCCCGGGGCUCAACCCCGGAACUGCCUUUGAUACUGGGUAUCUGGAGGUCGAGAGAGGCGAGUGGAAUUCCGAGUGUAGAGGUGAAAUUCGUAGAUAUUCGGAAGAACACCAGUGGCGAAGGCGACUCGCUGGACAAGUAUUGACGCUGAGGUGCGAAAGCGUGGGGAGCAAACAGG